ACGAACGCUGGCGGCACGCUUAACACAUGCAAGUCGAACGAGAGAAGAGAAGCUUGCUUUUCUGAUCUAGUGGCGGACGGGUGAGUAACACGUGAGCAAUCUGCCUUUCAGAGGGGGAUACCGAUUGGAAACGAUCGUUAAUACCGCAUAACAUAAUUGAACCGCAUGAUUUGAUUAUCAAAGAUUUAUCGCUGAAAGAUGAGCUCGCGUCUGAUUAGCUAGUUGGUAAGGUAACGGCUUACCAAGGCGACGAUCAGUAGCCGGACUGAGAGGUUGAUCGGCCACAUUGGGACUGAGACACGGCCCAGACUCCUACGGGAGGCAGCAGUGGGGAAUAUUGCACAAUGGAGGAAACUCUGAUGCAGCGAUGCCGCGUGAGGGAAGAAGGUUUUAGGAUUGUAAACCUCUGUCUUCGGGGACGAAAAAAGACGGUACCUGAGGAGGAAGCUCCGGCUAACUACGUGCCAGCAGCCGCGGUAAUACGUAGGGAGCGAGCGUUGUCCGGAAUUACUGGGUGUAAAGGGAGCGUAGGCGGGAUCGCAAGUCAGAUGUGAAAACUAUGGGCUUAACCCAUAAACUGCAUUUGAAACUGUGGUUCUUGAGUGAAGUAGAGGUAAGCGGAAUUCCUAGUGUAGCGGUGAAAUGCGUAGAUAUUAGGAGGAACAUCAGUGGCGAAGGCGGCUUACUGGGCUUUAACUGACGCUGAGGCUCGAAAGCGUGGGGAGCAAACAGGAUUAGAUACCCUGGUAGUCCACGCCGUAAACGAUGAUUACUAGGUGUGGGGGGACUGACCCCUUCCGUGCCGCAGCAAACGCAAUAAGUAAUCCACCUGGGGAGUACGACCGCAAGGUUGAAACUCAAAGGAAUUGACGGGGGCCCGCACAAGCAGUGGAGUAUGUGGAUUAAUUCGAAGCAACGCGAAGAACCUUACCAGGUCUUGACAUCGUAUGCAUAGCUCAGAGAUGAGUGAAAUCUCUUCGGAGACAUAUAGACAGGUGGUGCAUGGUUGUCGUCAGCUCGUGUCGUGAGAUGUUGGGUUAAGUCCCGCAACGAGCGCAACCCUUACUGUUAGUUGCUACGCAAGAGCACUCUAGCAGGACUGCCGUUGACAAAACGGAGGAAGGUGGGGAUGACGUCAAAUCAUCAUGCCCCUUAUGACCUGGGCCUCACACGUACUACAAUGGCUGUCAACAGAGGGAUGCAAAGCCGCGAGGUGGAGCGAACCCCUAAAAGCAGUCUUAGUUCGGAUUGUAGGCUGCAACCCGCCUACAUGAAGUCGGAAUUGCUAGUAAUCGCAGAUCGGCAUGCUGCGGUGAAUACGUUCCCGGGCCUUGUACACACCGCCCGUCACGCCAUGGGAGUCGGUAACACCCGAAGCCUGUAGUCUAACCGCAAGGAGGACGCAGUCGAAGGUGGGAUUGAUGACUGGGGUG
rnacentral:rRNA from 1 species